CGCUAGCGCCUCCUACCGUUUGCUCUGGCGAGGGCACUUGUGUUCCAUCGGCAGAUUUCCUUCUGAUGCUCUCCACGGAGUGGAGUGCUCCGGCGAAGAGUUCGUCGGCCACUCCGAAUCCGCCAAUGGAAUUCACCAUUAGUAGGCGUUGCCCACA
rnacentral:lncRNA from 1 species